UACGUAGGGUGCAAGCGUUAAUCGGAAUUACUGGGCGUAAAGCGUGCGCAGGCGGCUUUGCAAGACAGAUGUGAAAUCCCCGGGCUUAACCUGGGAACUGCAUUUGUGACUGCAUGGCUGGAGUGCGGCAGAGGGGGAUGGAAUUCCGCGUGUAGCAGUGAAAUGCGUAGAUAUGCGGAGGAACACCGAUGGCGAAGGCAGUCCCCUGGGCAUGCACUGACGCUCAUGCACGAAAGCGUGGGGAGCAAACAGG
rnacentral:rRNA from 1 species